UGGGGAAAGAUUUAUGGUUGGAGAUCCCUUUCUUGUGGUGUUUUUCCUCUGUGACAUGAUCUUCAGAGAUAGGCCUUACCACAGGAAGGUGACGGCAGCCUGCAUGUGGCAAGAAGUUUCUGCUGUUGAGUUGUAGCCAUCAGAAACGUUAUAGAAAGGUGCAUGUAUGAUGGUGCCAGCAGACCUUAGAGGACAAUAAUCUCCAGUGGGAAAGUGGGGAUAAUUUGCUGAAGAAGACUGAAAGCACCUGAAAAACAGUGUGGUGUAAUCUUGUCUGCGCCUCAUGAGCUUCACUGAAUCAACUCAGAAAUCACCCUCUUCAAAAAGCACUUAGGAGUGUCUCAGUCACCCUCCAGAAGGAAAUCCACAUUGACUGCAUAGAGACUGUUCCACCUGCAGACCUUUCACUUCGGUUACAAAAAAAUGUUUUAAAUUCCCUUCUUAAGAUGAAACUGUUACCUAAAUUUAAAUUUGGUGUAAUUUUUUGUAAGUAUUUCAGUGGAAGUAAAUUUUAGUCCCUGUAAUGACUAUUGUAUACUUGCAGAGUAUUGGGAUAAGAAUGUAUGACCUUUCAGGUCUACAGGUUGUUUCCUAUUCAUUUAGUUCUUGAUGGAGUUUGGUCUUUUAGAGAUCAUUUUGAGAUAUUGGUGCCACUAAGCAACCCAAUUGCUGUUUCCAGGCAGUCAAUGAUUAAGUGGUUUAAGAUAGAUAUGAAUUUGUCAUAAAAAGUUACUCCAGUCUGAUGUUAAUUUGACAGCCUGCAGAUUAGGUCCACUAAGAUACUAUUUGAAAUGUGUUGCUUAACUGUCAUGAGAAGCAAAUGCACCAUAAAUACAGGUUUAACUAAAGCAUAGCAUACUGAGGAUUCACUCAAUUUACUAGAUAAACAUCCACUGAACCUGUAAUCAAAUAGCUGUUUGAAAGCUUCUGGAUUAUUUGCAUUUCUAUUUGAAUUUAUUGACAAUGACUUUCCAGUCAGUGGCAUUUCUAUUAUUUUACUGCUUAGUUUUUUAUUUUGUUUCCCCAAUUCAAAACACAGAUUAAAAGAGUAAUUGUGUUUCUCAGCAUCUUUGAAAAGGGGAGGAAACUUCUGAUACUACUUUUUCAUGGAGAAAUCAGAGUGAAUAUAUGGUAGGUGAAUUCCAGAGCUUUGAUCUCUUUACUGCCUAAAUUGGCAGUAAAAAGUGUUGAAGUUUGUUAACACAUUUCUAUGCUAGAAAAUUACUGCUGUCAUCAUGUACUAUUUUCUCCAACAAAAAUGCAUCCUUAAAUGAGGAAUAACUGGUUACCUUCAUCAAAAACAAGCAAACAUUCAGCACAUGCUUCGGAACUUGUCUCCUCUGCCUAUAACUGUAAGAAAGGGUUAUUGCUUAAAUGUCAAUAUUUGCUAUUGUUCCUCCUAUCUGUGCACUUAUUUGUAUACACAGAUGUACCAAGUGCCCAGCUCAGCUGGAGAUGAACAUUUCAGUAACAUAUCUUUGUUUAGAGCUAACAGCAACUCAGAAUACUUUGUGGUCCUGGCCUAUGCAAGAACACUGGUCUGAAUGUGACAAUAGCAUGGACACGCUGCUGGCAGCAGACAGAAAGUCUUCUGCAUAGGGAGGCCUGUGGAACUGCAUGAAGCAAUAGCUGUAGUCUGCUUGUAUUAGGCAUGAAUAUCUCAUAGGAAGGAAUAUGAAAUAUUAUUGAGUAUUGUGAAAGAAUGAAGUGCUGCUGAUGCUAACCUUCUGAUUUUUAGGAAGCAGGCUUCUGAAGAUGAGGUCAGUGAUAUCCUUUUCUCGUUAUCAAGGGAACAGAAAUUAUAAUUAUCUGAGUAUUGCUUCCUCUUCUUUUGCAAGCAGGCAAGGGUAUCAGUUUAUAUUUUUUCAUAUGCUGGUUAGUUCUGUCUCAAAUGGUUUCCUAAGUAAAGCACAAAGUAGCUUCCUACGUUUUGUUGGGUAAAAUUCUAUCUUUAUUUUUUUUUUUAAAUUCUUGUAUGUUAAGAGCAAUAAAAAUUUCUGCCAAACAAUAGCCUGUUUUGAAGAUAAUGUUAUAACAAUUAAAUAAUUUUAAAGAAUUGCAUAUAAAAUGGUUUAGUAAAAAUCAUUAUAAAGCAAACCACAGAGUAAGAAUCACCUGUAUCUACUCAUUUGAAAAAUAUGAGAGAGAAGACAGGUUUUGUUUCUGUUGUGUUGAUCCCUAUGCUUUGAAUGAAUAAUUGGGUGUAUCUAUGAAUAAAUAUGUAGUCAAUAUUAUGGAACAAGAUUUUUGGCACUUGUGAUUUAUUGAAGAAUGUUUGAAGUUGCUUUAGCAGCUCUACCUCAGUCCUGUCCUGAGACCAUGUGAGAAGAGGACAGCUGUGUGAAAAACAACACUUUCAAUAAAAACUUCAUAAGUUCAUGACUGACAACAGGACUGAAGUUCACAGAUUUGUUCAGAAACUACUUCAAAACUUGCCCUCAAGAUACAGGAGAAGAGUGAAAUAGUUGGUGUUAACAUUUCCUGUUAUACUGCCUACAGAUGCCCUGAAGCAAUUUAAUAUGUUA